UACAGAGGUCUCAAGCGUUGUUCGGAUUCAUUGGGCGUAAAGGGUGCGUAGGCGGCGCGGUAAGUCGGGUGUGAAAUCUUGGAGCUUAACUCCGAAACUGCAUUCGAUACUGCCGUGCUUGAGGACUGGAGAGGAGACUGGAAUUUACGGUGUAGCGGUGAAAUGCGUAGAUAUCGUAAGGAAGACCAGUGGCGAAGGCGGGUCUCUGGACAGUUCCUGACGCUGAGGAGCGAAAGCCAGGGGAGCAAACGGG
rnacentral:rRNA from 1 species